rnacentral:rRNA from 1 species
UCAUGAUGAACGCUAGCUACAGGCUUAACACAUGCAAGUCGAGGGGUAGCAUGGUCUUAGCUUGCUAAGGCCGAUGGCGACCGGCGCACGGGUGAGUAACGCGUAUCCAACCUGCCUUACACUCUUGGACAGCCUUCUGAAAGGGAGAUUAAUACAAGAUGUUAUCAUGAGUAAGCAUUUUCACAUGAUUAAAGGUUUACCGGUGUAAGAUGGGGAUGCGUUCCAUUAGAUAGUAGGCGGGGUAACGGCCCACCUAGUCUUCGAUGGAUAGGGGUUCUGAGAGGAAGGUCCCCCACAUUGGAACUGAGACACGGUCCAAACUCCUACGGGAGGCAGCAGUGAGGAAUAUUGGUCAAUGGACGAGAGUCUGAACCAGCCAAGUAGCGUGAAGGAUGAAGGUUCUAUGGAUUGUAAACUUCUUUUAUACGGGAAUAAACGGAUCCACGUGUGGAUUUUUGCAUGUACCGUAUGAAUAAGGAUCGGCUAACUCCGUGCCAGCAGCCGCGGUAAUACGGAGGAUCCGAGCGUUAUCCGGAUUUAUUGGGUUUAAAGGGAGCGUAGAUGGGUUGUUAAGUCAGUUGUGAAAGUUUGCGGCUCAACCGUAAAAUUGCAAUUGAUACUGGCAGUCUUGAGUACAGUUGAGGUAGGCGGAAUUCGUGGUGUAGCGGUGAAAUGCUUAGAUAUCACGAAGAACUCCGAUUGCGAAGGCAGCUUACUAACCUGUAACUGACAUUGAUGCUCGAAAGUGUGGGUAUCAAACAGGAUUAGAUACCCUGGUAGUCCACACGGUAAACGAUGAAUACUCGCUGUAGGCGAUAUACAGUCUGCGGCCAAGCGAAAGCAUUAAGUAUUCCACCUGGGGAGUACGCCGGCAACGGUGAAACUCAAAGGAAUUGACGGGGGCCCGCACAAGCGGAGGAACAUGUGGUUUAAUUCGAUGAUACGCGAGGAACCUUACCCGGGCUUAAAUUGCGACCGAAUAUGGCGGAAACGCUAUAGCUAGCAAUAGCGGUUGUGAAGGUGCUGCAUGGUUGUCGUCAGCUCGUGCCGCGAGGUGUCGGCUUAAGUGCCAUAACGAGCGCAACCCUUGCCGAUAGUUACUAACAGGUCAUGCUGAGGACUCUGUCGGGACUGCCAUCGUAAGAUGUGAGGAAGGUGGGGAUGACGUCAAAUCAGCACGGCCCUUACGUCCGGGGCUACACACGUGUUACAAUGGGGGGUACAGAGGGCUGCUACCACGCAAGUGGAUGCCAAUCCCAAAAACCUCUCUCAGUUCGGAUUGAAGUCUGCAACCCGACUUCAUGAAGCUGGAUUCGCUAGUAAUCGCGCAUCAGCCACGGCGCGGUGAAUACGUUCCCGGGCCUUGUACACACCGCCCGUCAAGCCAUGGGAGCCGGGGGUACCUGAAGUGCGUAACCGCAAGGAGCGCCCUAGGGU